AACACUAUGUUUGGUUGGGUGUAUUGGAUUAGCCAAUACACCCCUAAUCCGUGGGCCCCACUUAAGCCCCUCUUAAGCAGUUGUUUGGUUCAAUGUAUUGGCUAAUACACCCCUAAUACGUUACGGCCCUAAUCCCCGAAAAUCUCUGUUUUCUAAUCCCUGGCUCCUCCUCAGUUUACAUCCGUUUUAGUUUCACGCCCUAAUUUGCCCUCUGUUUCCUGGGUUUGUCUCUC
rnacentral:lncRNA from 1 species